rnacentral:tRNA from 1 species
GUUUUUGGUGUUAAAGGCACAUUAAAUUUUGAUUUUAAAGGAGAUGAUUCAGUUUAUCAAAACUAA